GUCCACGCCUAACUAUGAUCACUCGUUGUUGGCGAUACACAGUCAGCGACUAAGGGAACCAUUAAGUGAUCCACCUGGGAGUACGACCGCAAGGUUGAACUCAAGGAAUUGACGGGCCCGCACAAGCGGAGGAGCAUGUGGUUUAAUUCGAUGAUACGCGAGGAACCUUACCUGGGCUUGAAAGUUAGUGACCGCUCCUGAAAGGGAGCCUUCCGCAAGGACACGAACUAGGUGCUGCAUGGCUGUCGU
rnacentral:rRNA from 1 species